CCUACAGGGGCAGAAGUUGGAUUUGGGCUCAGGGGUCAAAGGUCAGUGAUUGUGGGACAGGGUUGACAUGAGGGGUCAGGGAAAGAAGUGUCCGUUUGGCAUUUGGGGCAGGUUGAGGUUAGAAAUCAGGGACGCUGGGGCCACGUUGGUUUGGGGUCAAGGUCAGAGGUCAGUGACCUGUAGUCAGAGGGUUAGGGUGGCAUUGGGCUUAGAGGUUAUUGGACAGAAAGCUGGGGUGAGGCAGAGGUCACAGAUCAGGGACUGGGUAGCUGGGUGCAGGCUGGCAUUAGGGUCAGAGGUCAGGGAUCAGGUAGCUGGGAUUGGGCUGGUAUUAGGGAGGAGGUCAGACAGCCAGGCUUGGGUUGACAUUAGGACCAGGGUCAGAGGUUAGAGGUCAGGGAUCAGGUAACCAGGAUCAGGCUGGCAUUAGGGAGGGGGUCAGAGGUCAUGAAUCAGGUAGCUGGGCUUGGCCGGUUUUAGGAUCAGAGGUCAGGGACUGGGUAGCCAGGCUCAGGGUGGUGUAAGGGGUCAGGGUGGAAUUGGGGGUCAGAGGUCAGGGUUCGGGUUGGUGUAAGGGGUCAGAGGUCAGGGUUCAGGGUGGUGUUGGGGGUCAGAAGUCAGGGUUCGGGCCGGCAAAGGGGGUGGUGCUCCCAGCUCACCUUGAGGUGGACGUAGUCGUAUUCCUCCGCCAGUCGGAUCCCCUCGUAUUCGCUG